rnacentral:rRNA from 1 species
CCUACGCGAGGCAGCAGUGAGGAAUAUUGGUCAAUGGGCGCGAGCCUGAACCAGCCAAGUCGCGUGAGGGAAGAAGGCCCUACGGGUUGUAAACCUCUUUUGCCGGGGAGCAACGGGCGCCACGUGUGGCGCCACUGAGAGUACCCGGAGAAAAAGCAUCGGCUAACUCCGUGACAGCAGCCGCGGUAAUACGGAGGAAGCGAGCGUUAACCGGAUUUAUUGGGUUUAAAGGGUGCGUAGGCGGAGCGUUAAGUCAGUGGUCAAAUUGAGGGGCUCAACCCCUUCCCGCCAUUGAAACUGGCGCUCUUGAGUGGAAGAGAAGUAUGCGGAAUGCGUGGUGUAGCGGUGAAAUGCAUAGAUAUCACGCAGAACCCCGAUUGCGAAGGCAGCAUGCCGGCUUCCGACUGACGCUGAAGCACGAAAGCGUGGGGAUCGAACAGGAUUAGAUACCCUUGUAGUC